rnacentral:misc_RNA from 1 species
GAUGAAGAACGUAGCGAAAUGCGAUACGUAGUGUGAAUUGCAGAAUUCAGUGAAUCAUCGAAUCUUUGAACGCACAUUGCGCCCCUCGGCACUCCGGGGGGCAUGCCUGUCCGAGCGUCAUUGCACCCCUCGAGCCCCCCGUGGCUUGGUCGUGAGCCGCGCCCGCGCCAGCCCCGUCCCCCCCCGUGCAGCGGGGGGCAGGGGCGCCGGGCGGGCUCGAAACGCAGUGGCGGCCCCCGGGCGACUUCCAGCGCGAUGACAUGUUUCGCUGCCGAAGCCUUCGCCCCGGGCGCCCGCCAGGCAACCCCCGUGCUUCUUACGCGGUUGACCUCGGAUCAGGCAGGGAUACCCGCUGAACUUAAGCAUAUCAAUAAGCGGAGGA